UGGGGAAUAUUGCACAAUGGGCGCAAGCCUGAUGCAGCCAUGCCGCGUGUAUGAAGAAGGCCUUCGGGUUGUAAAGUACUUUCAGCGGGGAGGAAGGGAGUAAAGUUAAUACCUUUGCUCAUUGACGUUACCCGCAGAAGAAGCACCGGCUAACUCCGUGCCAGCAGCCGCGGUAAUACGGAGGGUGCAAGCGUUAAUCGGAAUUACUGGGCGUAAAGCGCACGCAGGCGGUUUGUUAAGUCAGAUGUGAAAUCCCCGGGCUCAACCUGGGAACUGCAUCUGAUACUGGCAAGCUUGAGUCUCGUAGAGGGGGGUAGAAUUCCAGGUGUAGCGGUGAAAUGCGUAGAGAUCUGGAGGAAUACCGGUGGCGAAGGCGGCCCCCUGGACGAAGACUGAAGCUCAGGUGCGAAAGCGUAGGGAGCAAACAGG
rnacentral:rRNA from 1 species